AGCAGCAGUGAGACUGUCUGACAGCACAGGCAGUCCCCCUGCAGGCAGCACUAUGGACGCCUAUUGCAGCCAUGUGACCGCUCUGUUAGCAAAGUGGAUCACCGGUGUGGGGACGGUGGUGAUCAGGUACGUGGCGUGGACAGCAGGGACGUUCUAUGCCGCCCGCCAGCGUUUAGACUCUGCUCCUUAAGGACGUCAUAGAAUGCCCGCCAUCCAUAAGGGGUUAAUUAUCCUAUUUCACAACAGUUUCUCAUUCAUCUAAUUAAAACACUGGUACCACAAUUUACCACAGUUGACAAGUAAAAUAACAUUAAGUUACAGCUUUGUUGAAGGGUUGUUUGUCAUUGUUUUUUUUUUGUUUUGUUUUUUAUGUAUCUUAGUGCUUGUAUGUAAGGUUGUUACGCUGAUUUCUUCAUCAGGUUUUUUUGUAAUAUAUUAUUAUUUCUUCUUACUCAGUAAUCAUGUUGAAGAUCAAGACGUGAGAAUGAUAAACGACAAUAAAAUUGUUGUUAAUUUCAAGAAGAAACAAUCUACUGAUCAAGGUUUGGCAUUUUUGUGUUUAUGCUAUUACCCCUUCAGAUGUAAUUUCUACAUGUUUGUUUAAUACAGUUGAUGCAUGCAUACAAGAAUGGUUUGUUUAGAAUAUCUAUUCUCAAACCAUUCCUGACAUUAUGCCAUCCUACAAAAGGAGACCUUUAACACCAUAAGGGCAGCAUAGCACACCUUAACGACGAUCUGGCCCUCCCUCUGACAUUAAUAAUUGCCCUCCACGACGAUCGUAAUUGGUGAACCUGCAUGACACCUAAGGAAGUCUACUUUCAGCCAGUCUAAGUUGUAUGUGAUCUAAGUUGUAUGUGAUCGAGGUGAUAACGCAAUCACAUUUCUUGGAUCGGUUUGAUUGGCAGUAUUGGCUGUAGUGGGACUGCUUGGGUUGUCAGCUAGAUUCCCUAAUAUAUAAUUAAUAAAAUAAUCUAAUUAUAUAUAAAUAACAUAUAUGCAUUUACUUAGAAUACAUUUAAUUAUAUAUAUUAAUAUCAAAAUGCUCUUGGAAGAUAUAUAUAUAUGUAUAUGUGUGUGUGUGUGUAUAUAUAUAUAUCAUAUAUAUAUAUACACAUGUAUGUUAAUGCAGUGUUAAACACAGAUACACACACACCAGGCAAGCCAAAAGACUUGCUUUUACCACAGAUAUCUCACGUUAACAUUGCUCUCACUACUGCAAGGGAUUCUGGGUAGGCAAAUUAGCUCAAUAAAGAACCACAUUUUUGCCUCAUAAUUCCACUUUAUACAUGUAUUCCUUGGAGUAUGUGUCUGCUGCACACAACAGCUUUAAAACUCAACUCAGGAAGAGGUGCAAUGCCAGUGAACCACUCAUGGACAGCUGUUUUGUUGUUAUUUGAACUCCUCAGCAUGAGAUAGGUUACUAGCUUGCUAUGGAGGCUUGGAAACUUAGCUUUUAUUGCUCACAUGUGAAAAAUCGAAGUUUGUCUGCCUCAUCAGAAUAUAUAUAUUAUUUUACAUUUUUAUAUAUAUAUAUAUAUAUAUAUAUAUAUAUAUUUUUAUAUAUUACAUAUAUUGGAUUUUAUUUAAAGACCAGAGUGCAGUCACCUUUAUGGAUUUAUAUAUAUCCAUAAAGGUGACUGCAGCCACCUUUAUGAAUCCAUAAAGGUGGCUGCACUUUGGUCUUUAAAUAAAACCCAAUGCUUUAUUAAGAAAAAAGUUAGAUGAUCAGGAUCAACGUUAUAGUCCACCUAUUUUCUUCAGGAUCAAAAUAAACGAAAUAUUUUAUUUUAUAGGUGGACUGAAAUGUGGAUCACGAUCUUCAAACUUUUUUCUUAAUAAAGCAUUAGAUUUUAUGUAACUCCUUAAGGACCACGAAUAUAUAUAUAUAUAUAUUAGGAUUAGUGCAUCAGUGCUGUCUUUCAGUCCUGCCUUUUCCAACCAAUGGUAGGAUUUUGUCAUGUAUAUCUCAUUUUUUUUUUUUUAAAUAAAGUAAAUACAUGAAAUAUAUAUAUAUAUAUAUAUAUAUAUAUAUAAAACAAAUAGCAAAUCCUUGCACGGUGCCCAAGCCAGUGUGUGUGGCUAUAUAUACACACAGACACACUACACCAUGUCAUGAUUUAUUUAACAAAAAUAAAGCCAAAAUGGAGAAGCCAUGUGUGCACAACUACUGCUUCCCUAGGAAUUAAGAGGCUAUGUAGCAGACAGGUGCUGUUAUCAAAGGCCCUUGAUUAAUUGAUCAUCAGCAAGUGUGACCACCUCUAUAAAAGCGAAAGUUUUGGAGGUUUACUGCUCUGGAGCAUUCAGGUGUGUGUUAACACAAUGCCAAGGAUGAAAGACAUCAGCAAUGAUCUUAGAGAACCAAUUGUUGCUGACCAUCAAACUGGGAAGGGUUAUAAUGCCAUUUCUAAACAAUAUAAAGUCCAUCAUUCUACAGUGUGAAAGCUUAUUCAAAAGUGGAAUACAUGCAAGAAAGUUUCCAAUCUUCCCAGGAGUGGACCCA